UACGUAGGGUGCAAGCGUUGUCCGGAAUUAUUGGGCGUAAAGAGCUCGUAGGCGGUUUGUCGCGUCUGCUGUGAAAACCCGAGGCUCAACCUCGGGCCUGCAGUGGGUACGGGCAGACUAGAGUGCGGUAGGGGAGAUUGGAAUUCCUGGUGUAGCGGUGGAAUGCGUAGAGAUCCGGAAGAACACCGGUGGCGAAGGCGGCCCGCUGGGCAGGAAGGUGAGGAGCAAUCCUCGCCGGCUGACGCUGAGGCGCGACAGCGUGGGGAGCAAACAGG
rnacentral:rRNA from 1 species